AGAUUGAACGCUGGCGGCAGGCCUAACACAUGCAAGUCGAACGGCAGCGCGGACUUCGGUCUGGCGGCGAGUGGCGAACGGGUGAGUAAUAUAUCGGAACGUGCCCAGUAGCGGGGGAUAACUACGCGAAAGCGUGGCUAAUACCGCAUACGCCCUACGGGGGAAAGGGGGGAUUCUUCGGAACCUCUCACUAUUGGAGCGGCCGAUAUCAGAUUAGCUAGUUGGUGAGGUAAAGGCUCACCAAAGGCGACGAUCUGUAGCUGGUUGAGAGGACGACCAGCCACACUGGGACUGAGACACGGCCCAGACUCCUACGGGAGGCAGCAGUGGGGAAUUUUGGACAAUGGGCGAAAAGCCUGAUCCAGCAAUGCGCGUGCAGGAAGAAGGCC
rnacentral:rRNA from 1 species